CGAGGAAGGCGAUCUCGGCGAGGAAGGCGGCGCCUACGAGGAGCGGCAGCAAGCACCUCCAUCGCCGCCGGCGGCCCGCCUGCGACUGCGAGUGGGAGGAGACCAUCAUUGCUGGCCCUCCUCGCGCCUCGCCGGCGCCGGGUGGGGAGUGGUGGAGAGAUCGUGUGGGGCGACCAAGAGACGGUGGGCGGAGUCAGGCGAGUUUGGAACGAGCCAACGACCCCCCGCGCCAGCAGCCGCUGAGAUCUUCCUCGCACGGGCACGGAUUUGGUUCUGUUCGGCCGGCUCCAAUUCUCCAUUGGCACGGACGAGGGACGAGUCGUACUCGUACAGACAGACGGGCGCCGGCGA
rnacentral:misc_RNA from 1 species